AUUGAACGCUGGCGUUCCUGCCUUACACAUGCAAGUCGAACGGCAGCACGGGAGCAAUCCUGGUGGCGAGUGGCGAACGGGUGAGUAAUACAUCGGAACGUGCCCAGUAGUGGGGGAUAGCCCGGCGAAAGCCGGAUUAAUACCGCAUACGACCUACGGGUGAAAGCGGGGGAUCGCAAGACCUCGCGCUAUCGGAGCGGCCGAUGUCAGAUUAGCUAGUUGGUAGGGUAAAGGCCUACCAAGGCGACGAUCUGUAGCUGGUCUGAGAGGACGACCAGCCACACUGGGACUGAGACACGGCCCAGACUCCUACGGGAGGCAGCAGUGGGGAAUUUUGGACAAUGGGCGCAAGCCUGAUCCAGCCAUGCCGCGUGCGGGAAGAAGGCCUUCGGGUUGUAAACCGCUUUUGUCAGGGAAGAAACGCUCCGAGCUAAUACCUCGGAGUAAUGACGGUACCUGAAGAAUAAGCACCGGCUAACUACGUGCCAGCAGCCGCGGUAAUACGUAGGGUGCAAGCGUUAAUCGGAAUUACUGGGCGUAAAGCGUGCGCAGGCGGCUUUGCAAGACAGAUGUGAAAUCCCCGGGCUUAACCUGGGAACUGCAUUUGUGACUGCAUGGCUGGAGUGCGGCAGAGGGGGAUGGAAUUCCGCGUGUAGCAGUGAAAUGCGUAGAUAUGCGGAGGAACACCGAUGGCGAAGGCAAUCCCCUGGGCCUGCACUGACGCUCAUGCACGAAAGCGUGGGGAGCAAAC
rnacentral:rRNA from 1 species